rnacentral:rRNA from 1 species
GAAUUUGCCUGNNGGUCCCACCUGACCCCAUGCCGAACUCAGAAGUGAAACGCCGUAGCGCCGAUGGUAGUGUGGGGUCUCCCCAUGUGAGAGUAGGGAACUGCC